rnacentral:lncRNA from 1 species
ACUGUUCAUGACUUCACCACACAAACUUCCCUCAUGUAUUGGGAGGGACCAAGGGGCUCUCUGGUUCUGCACCUGCGUUAAUUACCACCGGGAGGUGCACACUAGGACCCCAAGGCCUGGGACCAGUCUGGGUCGGGGCAGAGAAGCGGUGGAUGUGGCUCCCGAAGUGUCUUAGGGGCUCCCUUCCCUGUGGCUGUUUCCUGACUGGAUGCAGCAGGGUCAGGCCUUUCACUGUGACGUUUUCUACUCCUUAUUAGAGUGGCAGGAGCGUCCCUGUGAGAGGCCUGACCCAGGUGUGGGCCUUGCAGCCAGCCCCGUGUCCAAGGGGCACUCCUGGGAGUGCAGAGGAGGAUUUGUGACAGCCUAGAGGAUAGAGGAAAAGGUGGCUUUGAAAAGGUUUGUGAGCCGCUCCUGGUCCCCUGCUGCUCCGUGAGAAAUCAAACUUCUGGCAAUGACGAAGCAUGAAGCCAGCAUCUUAGGGAGAGGUAGUGACAUAAUUGCACGGUAAGACCAGCCGCCCUGGUCUCGCUGUCUCCUGGCAGGCAGGAGAGGUGUGGAAACAGCCAGGCUCCCCUUAGCAUGGCAGAACUGCUCUGGACUCGGGGAGGUGUGGAUUCGAGGGCGGGAGCUAUGCCUGGCAUACUGGGAGUUGUCAUCUUUGAUUAGCUUCCAGUUUUUUAAUUGCAGGGCGACCGGAUUACAAUCUCAGCCAGCAUGAACAGGGGGUGGCACGCAGUACUGAAGGGGGAAGCCGGGCUGUGCCGGCUUCGCUGUGCAUUCUGGGAGCUGUAGUCUCUUCACCGCUCCUGCCCGUUGUUUCAAGCGCUUCGGGACUACAAUCCCAGUAUUCCCCGGGCUCGGGGGCGGGGCGCAGUUCUCGUGGGAGGAGCGAGGCACCGCGCUCCUGGCCAGGCAAGCUGGAAACGGUAUCUCUUAACGGUUCCCUGCCCCUUGGUGGCAAGGCGGCUGGACUAGAAUCUCAGCAGGCGACAUGCGAGGAGGCGGGCAACCCAGGAGGGUUGGGCAAGGCAGUGUGGACCUCGACGCUUCCACAGCGAUGCUGGCUACUGAUCGCGGGCACCUCUUUGCCAUGGGAAGUUUGUGCUGUGCACUAACAUGUAAUUCAAAUACUGAUGAAAACAAAACUAUUGCACUCCUACCAAAUGGUAACAAUGUGUAUUUUUUUCUUUUUCUAGUUAUAAAAGAAAUGCAUGUUGUUUGAAUAACGGCAGAUCAUAGAGAUCUUUAUGUAGCAGAAGUCUCCCAUGUCUUCCUCUUUGUUCCAAACUCACUCUCUUCUUAGAAGGAAUCAUUAUAGCUUGGUGUUUAUUCUUCUGGAUGUUUUCUGUAAAUUUAUAAAUACACAUAAAUUUGGCCAGGUGCGGUGGCUCAUGUCUGUAACCCCAACACUUUGGGAGGCCGGCGGGGAGGAUCCCUUGAGCUCAGGAGGUUGAGGCUGCAGUGAGCUGUGAUCAUGCCAUUGCACUCCUGUCUGGGCAACAGAGUGAGACCCUGCCUCAAAAAAAAAAAAAAAAAAAAAAAAAAAAAAAAAAAUUAAAAUUUUUUUA